CCCAUUUCCCGGCGUUUUGGCCGGCCCUCCUCGAGACGCUGUGGCCUGGUCAAAGUCUAAACAGGCUCAGUGCUCUUUGCAUCUUCCGAAAAGUAGGGAAGAAUUUUAUCCAGAGACCAAACGACAGAGCAGGUUAAAUGGCCAAACUCAGAACUGAAUAAAAGAGGAAAGAGGUAUAAGAAAUCUGCUGGACACCAGUAUUUCUCUGCUUCCUGGCUGUGGGUGCAGCGUGACUAAUUGCUUGUCCCUGCUGCCACAGCUUUGUGCCAUGAUUCCCUCCAGGGCUGGAUGGAAAGCUAUUGUUGGACUAGCUGGAUUUUCAAGCAAUGAGCCCAAAGAAGCCCUUAGAUUCCAGGUAUCUGGUCAUAGCAAUAAGAAAAGUAAGCAAAUCAUAAGUAUUCACUACUGUUUUUUUGAAAAACUGAUAUAUCAUAGUAUUUUAUAUGAAUCAGAG